rnacentral:lncRNA from 1 species
CCCUUCAUUUUCAAUCCAAAAAUUAGUUUCCAUUACUCCAAAAUUUGAUAAACUGAAGCAAUCACCACCACCCAAUCAACUCACUGUUUCGGAUCUUCGAAAGAGGGUGGAAAAUGGUUUAUGCCUUCAUUGUGACGAGGAAAAUCCACUUGGCCAUAAUUGUAAAAAUUGAGGGUUACAAGUGUUGGUGGUAGCUGAUAAUUUAGAAGAAGUAUACCUCGUAGA